CACGUAGGGGGCAAGCGUUGUCCGGAUUUAUUGGGCGUAAAGAGCUCGUAGGCGGUUCGGUAAGUCGGGUGUGAAACCUCCAGGCUCAACCUGGAGACGCCACCUGAUACUGCUGUGACUCGAGUCCGGUAGGGGAGCGUGGAAUUCCUGGUGUAGCGGUGAAAUGCGCAGAUAUCAGGAGGAACACCGGUGGCGAAGGCGGGUCUCUGGGCCAAUACUGACGCUGAGGAGCGAAAGCGUGGGGAGCGAACAGG
rnacentral:rRNA from 1 species